CACGGAGGGUGCAAAUGAAUAUUGUUAGCUUACAGUUAUAUUAUAAAAGGAUUUAGGAUUAAAAAUGAAUUUAUUAGGUGAAAUUUUAAGUUUAUAUAAUUUUUAUAUAAAGUAUAUAGAAGCUGGGAAAUUUAAAAAUUAAACUA
rnacentral:rRNA from 1 species